rnacentral:rRNA from 1 species
CAGGUUGUAACCCGAUUUACACAUGCAAGUUUCCGCACUCCUGUGAGAAUGCCCUUUACCACCAAUAGGAAAAAAGGAGCAGGCAUCAGGCACGCAUUUGCAGCCCAAGACGCCUUGCUUAGCCACACCCCCAAGGGAAAUCAGCAGUGAUAGACAUUAAGCAAUAAGCGAAAGCUUGACCUAGUCAUGGUUAAAAGAGCCGGUAAAACUCGUGCCAGCCACCGCGGUUAUACGAGGGGCUCAAAUUGAUAUAAUACGGCGUAAAGUGUGAUUAGAGAUAAACCCCACUAAAGCUAAACACCCCCUAUGCUGUCAUACGCCAUGGGGUAUACGAAGCCCAACAACGAAAGUGGCUUUAUAAAUCUUGAACUCACGACAGCUAGGGUACAAACUGGGAUUAGAUACCCCACUAUGCCUAGCCUUAAACCAAGGUGACAAUACCACAAACCUCACCCGCCAGGGGACUACGAGCACCAGCUUAAAACCCAAAGGACUUGGCGGUGCCUCAAACCCGCCUAGAGGAGCCUGUCCUGCAACCGAUAAUCCCCGUUAAACCUCACCCCUCCUUGCCAAUUCCGCCUAUAUACCGCCGUCGCCAGUUUACCUUAUGAAAGAACAACAGUAAGCAAAAUGGGCAACGCCCAACACGUCAGGUCGAGGUGUAGCGAAUGGGGGGGGAAGAGAUGGGCUACAUUUUCUGAUAACAGAAC